GGGGAGAGAAGGUGUUGGGGAGAACCGGCUGUAGCGUAUGAUCCGGUGGGAGACCCAAUUGUUCGCGAUGGAUUGUAAGCGGCGUUCGGAAGGUGGUGUGUAUUUUCACACUGACCAACGGCCCAGAGCGUAAAAUAUAUGUUUUAACUUCUGUCAAGAAUUCAGGCACUUUUUCCAGAUUUAAAAAAAUUGAUAUGCAUUAAUAGAUCAGUCUUGGACCAGAUAAUAUGCCGAAAGAAUAUAGUGAAGAAUAUACAGAAAACAAGAGCAACUAUCCUUGAGCUUCCCCUCACUAAUUGUUGGUCCCGCUCUCAUCUGAUCUAUCAUCUGCCUGGUUAAAAUGAUGUCCAAUCCCAGUUUAGGAACAGCAACUCUUCUUCUGUCUGGGUGUGCUGCAGCCAUUUAGACUCAGUGCUGAAUUCUACA